rnacentral:rRNA from 1 species
AAUGAACGCUGGCGGCGUGCUUAACACAUGCAAGUCGUACGAGAAAUCCUUAGCUUGCUAGGGAGAGUAAAGUGGCGCACGGGUGAGUAACGCGUGGGUAAUCUACCCUUGGAUUCAGGAUAACAUUUCGAAAGGGGUGCUAAUACUGGAUAACAUCUUUUUGGUUUAGGCCGGAAGGAUCAAAGAUAGCCUCUACAUGUAAGCUAUUGUUUGAGGAUGAGCCCGCGUACCAUUAGCUAGUUGGUGGGGUAAGAGCCUACCAAGGCGACGAUGGUUAGCUGGUCUGAGAGGAUGAUCAGCCACACUGGAACUGAAACACGGUCCAGACUCCUACGGGAGGCAG